GGCUCGCGCUGCGCGGGGCCGGGUUGAAGAGCGGCCGCCCCGCUCCGCCCCGCUCCGCCCCGCUCCUCCCACCGGGGCCGGGCGGAGAGCCGGGGGGGUCGGGGCUGAUUCUCCGCCUCGGUUUGAGCCCCUUCGUUCCCCACCAAAACUUCAGCCCUGGGUGUGGGGAGAGCGGAUUUGAGGCUGCUGGGGGAACUCAUUAGCGAGGUCACCUGGGAAACUGAUUUUGAAGGCGCUGGGGUCCCUCAGAGCCGGUCGCUGCGCGGCCUCUCUAGCAGCAGCAGGCGGUUCCGAAUGCCGGGCGUCGCGCAGGCUGGGAGGCUGAGCAGUGAUCUUGGGCAGUAAAAUAAAGUGGAGAACGUCUGUGCAGGCUGAGGGGAAGCCUCGUGGCAGCCUACAGCUCCUCACUGCACCCUGCAGUGCAGCUCUCACAGGGAGCGGAGGGCAGCGCUGAGCUCUGCUCUCCGUGACAGCGACAGGGCCCGAGGAACGGCAUGGAGCUGUGCCAGGGGGGCCAUGUGAGGGUGAUCCUCUGCACCGGAGGGCCGUGGUUGUGGAAUGGGCUGCCCAGGGCAGUGGGCACGGCCCUGAGCUGCUGGAGCUUUGUCAGCUCCCUGGCGGGACAGGCCUGCUGUGGUCUGCUGGAGGCUGGUGGCAGAACGUGGCUUCGAGUCUUGCAGGCAGCUCAGGCUGUGAGAUUACUUCCACACUUAAUGGAAUAAAAGCUGAUGGAAGGGUUACCAGAAAUAUUAUUGGCCACCUCUGUAGCAAGAUGGCAGCACUCGGUUGGUGAACAAAUUGGAUCAUCAGUCAGUUUAAUAGGAACAACUUCAGAGGCAAAAGAACCGGUGGCCCGAAGGCAGCCUUGACAACAAAGAUGGAUGUUUAUGGACUUUCUCAUUUUCGUUACUCCAGCUUUAAUAAGUAUUGCAGAAAACAGCCAGCAGCAGGGAAAUGCUCAUAGGAAACCACAGUAACUGAACGCUUAGAGAAAUAACUCACACUCAGAUCCUAAUCCUAAGAAGUAGGAAAAAGAAAGAAAAAAAGAAAGUGUACUGCUAUGAAAUUUCUUCCAGCUGAUGAAAACUUUCUUGCAUGUGGUGCCUUAAAAAUGUCAAAUAAAUGUGGGUCUUAGUUCUAAAUAAAGGGUUGAGGAAUGGAUCAUGCAGCGUCUCGUUCCUUUUGGUAAUUAUGGUCACUCCUCGUUUUCUCUUUGUGCCAUCUGAUAGCUUCUCUGAUUGUUACGAGAUGUGCAGUCACUUGAGAUUAGACAAAAAGCCAGGGAUACUCAAUUAGGCUGUUCCCAUUCCUUCUCAGCCCCAGCUUCCAGAUAAACAAGGUGAUAGAUGCACAAAAUAGAUCGCUAACUGAUUUCACAAAUCAAUUAAAGCUCAUUAAAGUCUCAGUUUGAUAGUGUUAUGAUAAUUAGAUAAGUCAGCAACAUGUGAGCUGGUGUCAUCCCAUAUCUCGUAUUGAGUCUUCUGGGAAUGGGAAAAGCGUGCUGUGAUAGAGCUGUGUUGCAUCCCAUGACUAUUCUGCAAACAGCGCUAGGUUACCUCGUUGGUGUGCCAGCAUGGCUCACCAACAAGUAGAGGCCAAAAAAUAGACACUCUGUGCUCAUAGACUCCUUGAAGUAAAAUAAGGUGGGCUGGAAGAGGCUGUGGUGGGUCCCAGCCAGCUCUCUGCCUGAGAGGACUGGGAGGGGAGCACCCCACGA